rnacentral:tRNA from 1 species
GGAGCUGUACCCAAGUGGUAAAGGGGGCGGUUUGCUAAACCGCUAGGCCAGUAAUGGUGCGUGAGUUCGAACCUCACCGGCUCCGCCA